rnacentral:miRNA from 1 species
UGAACUAUGAACCAGUGCUCGAGA